AACACCUCAACUCCCUUUUCUUUUUUGAAAUGGGAGCUGGACUUGAGUGAUCCCAACGCUUCUCUCACCGAGAAGUGGCGGGUUACUUGAAAUGCAGGUGCAGCUGGACUUUUCUCUGAGCUAUAAGCAUAUCUAUUUAGUCUGCCUAAAAAACAGAUUAUUACCUUUGCUGCAGCUAACAUAAAGGAGAUUAGUUCUUGUGCUGACUGAUGCAGGAUUCACAGAGACAGCUUCGGCUGACUUUGUAA
rnacentral:misc_RNA from 1 species